GGGAAACAGACUUUACUUGAAAAAUUAGAGUGCUCCAGGCAGGCCUAUGCUCGAAUACAUUAGCAUGGAAUAAUAAAUAGGACGUGCGGUUCUAUUUUGUUGGUUUCUAGGACCGCCGUAAUGAUUAAUAGGGACAGUCGGGGGCAUCAGUAUUCAAUUGUCAGAGGUGAAAUUCUUGGAUUUAUUGAAGACUAACUACUGCGAAAGCAUUUGCCAAGGAUGUUUUCAUUAAUCAGGAACGAAAGUUAGGGGAUCGAAGACGAUCAGAUACCGUCGUAGUCUUAACCGUAAACGAUGCCGACUAGGGAUCGGACGGUGU
rnacentral:rRNA from 1 species